rnacentral:hammerhead_ribozyme from 1 species
AUCUAGCUGGUGAGUCCCAAAUAGAAUGAAACGCGAUUCCUGGAU